rnacentral:rRNA from 1 species
GACGAACGCUGGCGGCGUGCUUAACACAUGCAAGUCGAACGGAAAGGCCCUGCUUUUGUGGGGUGCUCGAGUGGCGAACGGGUGAGUAACACGUGAGUAACCUGCCCUUGACUUUGGGAUAACUUCAGGAAACUGGGGCUAAUACCGGAUAGGAGCUCCUGCUGCAUGGUGGGGGUUGGAAAGUUUCGGCGGGUGGGGAUGGACUCGCGGCUUAUCAGCUUGUUGGUGGGGGAGUGGCUUACCAAGGCUUUGACGGGUAGCCGGCCUGAGAGGGUGACCGGCCACCUUGGGCCUGCGAUACGGCCCAGACUCCUACGGGAGGCAGCAGUGGGGAAUAUUGCACAAUGGGCGGAAGCCUGAUGCAGCAACGCCGCGUGCGGGAUGACGGCCUUCGGGUUGUAAACCGCUUUCGCCUGUGACGAAGCGUGAGUGACGGUAAUGGGUAAAGAAGCACCGGCUAACUACGUG